rnacentral:tRNA from 1 species
AAUAAAGUGCCUGAAAAAGGGUUAUCUUGAUAGGAUAAAUCAUGCAAUAAAAAGCCUUUAUUA